UGUCCCAAGAAGCGUCCAGCAAACCACAGCGCCGUGUUUCUCUUUCACAAGGCAGGAUGACACAAGACCCGGAGCUGAAGGCCUUGGAGGAAAGUGAUUCCGUGUCAUCUCUGACAGGGGAAGAAACAGGAAAAGGUGCUUUGGGAACAAUUGGUGGUGUAAGGGAUACUGCCUGUGUGGCAGGAGAACUCCAGCUGGGAUCGAAGUGCUGCUGCCAGCAAGAAAGGAACCUGCUCUGCUUUUUCUUCUCCCCACAGCUGUGACCCUUUGGGCAUCUCCCAGCCAUGCAGAUCCUGCCUCUCCUCUUUGCUGUCCUCCUCCUGAUGCUCCAGGGAGAACCAGGGCUGUCCCUUGCUCGGGCAUCACCCCAGGACUGUGAGCGCCGUGGGGGCUUCUGCUCCCAUAGCUCAUGCCCUCCAGGGAUUGGUCGCAUUGGUCUCUGCUCCGAGCAAGUCUUCUGCUGUCGGAGCCGAUGGUAUUCCUGAUGGCCUCUGAUGUCCCCUCACGUUGAUCUCCGUGCAGAACACUGAAGCCACCAUGUACCUUUGUAGUGCACCAGAGGCAACAGUCAUCACUGGGAGCGGUGGUGACCCUGGAAAACAAGACCUCAGCCCUGUGAGAACCCCUCUUUGCACAAUACAAGGUGGCAGCUUGCAUUAACAUUA